rnacentral:tRNA from 1 species
CAUUGAGAAGCUGUGAUAUAGCAACAGCCUUUUAAGCUGUAGGCAGGUGAUUCAACCCACCCUUAAUGA